rnacentral:rRNA from 1 species
UACGUAGGGGCCGAGCGUUGUCCGGAGUUACUGGGCGUAAAGCGCGCGCAGGCGGCCACUUAAGCCCGGCGUGAAAGCCCCCGGCUCAACCGGGGAGGGUCGUCGGGGACUGGGUGGCUUGAGGACGGCAGGGGCUGGUGGAAUCCCCGGUGUAGUGGUGAAAUGCGUAGAGAUCGGGGGGAACACCCGUGGCGAAGGCGGCCAGCUGGGCCGGUCCUGACGCUGAGGCGCGAAGGCGUGGGGAGCGAACGGGG